rnacentral:rRNA from 1 species
GGGGGGGGGGGGGGGGAGGGGGGGCGCGGGCGGGUCGGGGGGGGCCUGCGGGUCUAGUGGCGCACGGGUGCGUAACGCGUGGGAACCUGCCCUUAGGUUCGGAAUAACUCCCCGAAAGGGGUGCUAAUACCGGAUAAUGUCUGCGGACCAAAGAUUUAUCGCCUUUGGAUGGGCCCGCGUUGGAUUAGCUAGUUGGUAGGGUAAAAGCCUACCAAGGCGACGAUCCAUAGCUGUUCUGAGAGGAUGAUCAGCCACACUGGGACUGAGACACGGCCCAGACUCCUACGGGAGGCAGCAGUGGGGAAUAUUGGACAAUGGGCGAAAGCCUGAUCCAGCAAUGCCGCGUGAGUGAUGAAGGCCUUAGGGUUGUAAAGCUCUUUUACCCGGGAUGAUAAUGACAGUACCGGGAGAAUAAGCUCCGGCUAACUCCGUG